AUUGAACGCUGGCGGAAUGCUUUACACAUGCAAGUCGAACGGCAGCACGGACUUCGGUCUGGUGGCGAGUGGCGAACGGGUGAGUAAUGUAUCGGAACGUGCCCAGUCGCGGGGGAUAACGUAGUGAAAAUUACGCUAAUACCGCAUACGAUCUAUGGAUGAGAGCGGGGGAUCGCAAGCCCUCGCGCGAUUGGAGCGGCCGAUAUCAGAUUAGGUAGUUGGUGGGGUAAAGGCCCACCAAGCCAACGAUCUGUAGCUGGUCUGAGAGGACGACCAGCCACACUGGAACUGAGACACGGUCCAGACUCCUACGGGAGGCAGCAGUGGGGAAUUUUGGACAAUGGGCGAAAGCCUGAUCCAGCCAUUCCGCGUGCAGGAUGAAGGCCCUCGGGUUGUAAACUGCUUUUGUACAGAACGAAAAGGUUUCUACUAAUACUAGGAGCUCAUGACGGUACUGUAAGAAUAAGCACCGGCUAACUACGUGCCAGCAGCCGCGGUAA
rnacentral:rRNA from 1 species